AUGGCAUCUUGGACUGCAAGACAAAACAAAUUAUUUGAAGAGGCACUUGCUAUAUAUGACAGGGAUACACCUGACAAGUGGCACAAUGUUGCUAAACUGGUCGGAAAAUCCGUUGAGGAUGUUAAAAGGCAUUAUGAACUACUCAAAGAAGAUAUCAGGCGCAUUGAGCGUGGUGAGGUUCCUUAUCCAUAUAAAGGUUCAUGA